AUUGCCCACCGGACAGUCUGUCGAGGUCGGUGACUUGAGUCUAUUCGGUGUGCUUCUGUGUGUUUGUGUGUGUUUGGUGUGUUCCGUGCGGUCGUCAGUCGGAGCCGUCGACAUAAAUUUUGGCCGAUUUGACUUGUAAGAUCGGCCUGUGGGUAGUCGGACUCAAUGACCAAUCUGAUUGGUGG